GACGAACGCUGGCGGCGUGCUUAACACAUGCAAGUCGAACGGAAAGGCCCUGCUUUUGUGGGGUGCUUGAGUGGCGACCGGGUGAGUAACACGUGAGUAACCUGCCCUUGACUUUGGGAUAACUUCAGGAAACUGGGGCUAAUACCGGAUAGGAGCUCCUGCUGCAUGGUGGGGGUUGGAAAGUUUCGGCGGUUGGGGAUGGACUCGCGGCUUAUCAGCUUGUUGGUGGGGUAGUGGCUUACCAAGGCUUUGACGGGUAGCCGGCCUGAGAGGGUGACCGGCCACAUUGGGACUGAGAUACGGCCCAGACUCCUACGGGAGGCAGCAGUGGAGAAUAUUGCACAAUGGGCGGAAGCCUGAUGCAGCAACGCCGCGUGCGGGAUGACGGCCUUCGGGUUGUAAACCGCUUUCGCCUGUGACGAAGCGUGAGUGACGGUAAUGGGUAAAGAAGCUCCGGCUAACUACGUG
rnacentral:rRNA from 1 species